CUGAAGUAAUGAUUAAUAGGGAUAGUUGGGGGCAUUAGUAUUUAAUUGUCAGAGGUGAAAUUCUCGGAUUUGUUAAAGACUAACUUAUGCGAAAGCAUUUGCCAAGGAUGUUUUCAUUAAUCAGGAACGAAAGUUAGGGGAUCGAAGAUGAUCAGAUACCGUCGUAGUCUUAACCAUAAACUAUGCCGACUAGGGAUCGGAUGAUGUUAAUUUUUAAUGACUCAUUCGGCGCCUUACGGGAAAC
rnacentral:rRNA from 1 species